rnacentral:lncRNA from 1 species
GGUAAUAUACUUUUACAAAGAAACUAAAUACAAUGUAUUUUUGUAGAUAACUAAAUUACAUCAAGUCUUGUCAUGAAUCAAACAUCAAUCACUUGCUUGGUAGCUUCAUCACUAUAGUAAAUCAAUCGAAUACUAGUGCAAAAUCUUGGUAAUCUGAAAUGUGUAGAUGUUCCACUUCUACACCAUCAGUGUCCUCCAUUUCAUCUUCUUCACCGUCAGAAUCAACAUCUCCUUCAAGUCCAUUUUCAAUAAACUACAUAUUGUACCAAUAUAACCAUGUGGUCAAAAUCAUUCUAAAUCUCCA